UUUUUUUUUUUUAUUCAACACAUGGAAGUGUAGUCAGACUGGAAUGGAGUGAAAGGUAUCUUUUUAUAAAAAGCCUAUUCAGCAAGAAGAUGGCGAAUCAAGCCGACUACCACCAGAAGACACUGCCUCUACAAUCCUGUUCAUAUAAACAUUAUGACUAUGAUGAUAGAAAAAAAAAAAAUCUAUUCCAUACUGGAGUUUUGGUUGUUUACAGAAAAACACUUGGACUUUUGUGGGUGCGUGUUUCCCCUUUUUUGGAGGGUGGGAUUACUCAAUUCAGAAAUAUUUUGUGAGGAGGUGUUGUAAUCACAUGACAGCAUGUCCCACCACCUUGUUGUGAAAUGGGUGUGGCAUACAGAAAGUCUCCAUACUUUUGACUUUGGGGAUUGGGUGCUGAGACAAGCAGUUAUUAUAAAGCUGACCAUAUUUUGUUUACUGAAUUUGUUGAAUUUUUGUUUACUUUUUGCCUAUUUUUUUUUUUUUCUUCAGUGGAUUUAUAUACUUUUUUUCAUCCAGAGGAAAAGGUGUGUUCCUGGAAAAGAAAAAAAGAAAAAAAAUCAAAAACAGCACAGACCAUUUAUUUUCGGUACCUUGAAAUGCACGAAUGCGAUUGUUAAUGCUUUAAGAGUUUUCUUCCCCCAAGUAUCUAGAACUGGUCUCUAGACUGAUUUCGUUUUAGAAAAGUUGAAUGGAAAAAAAACAAAAAUUACAAAAAAUGGACGUCUGCAACGUGCUGGAAAGUACAGAAGAACAUGAGGGACAUUCAUGACCUCAGCUCUGUCCUCAUCGUCUGGGGACUGUUAUUAGCCUUUCUUUUCCAUAUGGGCGAAGGGAGUAUCAAAGCAGUCGACGUCGUCCUUCUGAAGAUAACGAGCGAACGAUCACUGCCUCAAUGCUCUCACUAUGCACUUUUCACACACUCAAAACUGUGAGGAACCUGUGGGGACACAUAGAGGAAGACAGGGGGUGCUGUUGAAGCAUGGCUGACCGGACACUUCAAAUCCAGCUAAAGCCCCUCUAGUGAGAACCUAAACAUGGCAUGAUGUUCCCUCUUUAUUAAAAAAUGUACAUAAGUGAUUUUUUUUUUUUUUUUUUUUUAAACUCCGCAAUUCUUCGGACUGAACAUAAUCUUGAACAUAUACCAAUGAAGUAGGCUAAUAAGACAUCAGACAUUUUGAAUGUUGAGGAAUAUGUUCUACUCCUUGUUCGGCCUUUUGGAGAUUUCCUGUGGAUGCACUCAAGAUGCAGGAAAGAACAUUUUAUAAACUGCUUGUUGAUGGCUGAUGAACAGAGACAAUUCCAGCGUAAUCUGUAGAAUAACUGAGGAGUAGACGAGAAUUUAAACAGAGCUUCUGCUCAGCUGUGGAUUAACUUCAACAUGGAGUCACCUGAAACCGCAGCAGCAGAACUGUCUGUCCGACCAGUAUACCAGAUCUUCUGACAAGGACAGUUCCUGGCUUUCUUUUCUCAUUCUUUUUCUUUUAAUCUCUCUCUCUCUCCCUCUCUCUCUCUCUCUCUCUCUCAUUCUCGGAGUAAGACCACCGAUGAUACCUGCCCUUAGACGUCACCUCAUUUUCAGAAUGGUGUGAAGUGACUGCACUGAUAUAAAUGUGCUGUACCACUCUGGCUUGCUGGCACCCUCAGUAGGUGAUCAGCACCCUCAUUGCAUGCCUAUGCAGAGAGCAGGAUACUGGAACUCUGGAACUAUGACAGUCACUACCUGUACAGACCCUUUUGCAUACAUGGCUAACACACACAAAUGCAAGUGGAGGUCGGCUAAGCACACAUGCAAGCAUGGUCAUCAUGUAGUAUCAAACGCAAACUUCACUUCCUUCAGCUGCUGUCUUGAUGAAACCGUAUUCAAACAAAGACUUCAUACCCAUGGCCUCUGGCUGCCAUGUAGACUGUAUAUACUGUAUACUGUUUUCCUCUUUGUGUGAUUUUUUUUUUUUUUGUUUUUUUCCAUUUUUUCCUCCUACCUUUUUAGGACAUGCCUUAACUGUACUUUGGAGAGAAAAUAAGUUUAACAUGUUUAGUUAACUUGAUUUUACUCCCAUGUUUUUUCCUGAACUAAAUGAGUCAUUAACUUAAUCAGAGCUUUGGUUGAGGAUUGAGUGUGAUGUGUGUGUAAAACUCUCAUCAGCCCUAAAAUUAACAAGUUUGCAUAGAACCUGGCUAUUUCUCACUAAAUAGUUUAAGGAUUAUUUAUGUUACAGAAGAUGAAGCAUGGUAAAAAAAUAUAAAUAUAUCAGGCAUUGUAUUAAAGCUGUAUUUUGGACUGAUUAGUGGCUUAUGUAGUAGAUUAUAUAGGAAUCAACUGAAAUUACUGUUUAACUUGUGUGGCCCUUUUUGGUCAUUAAUGUUUGAGCUGCAGACAGUGCCAGUGCAAUUUAACAUGACAUGGCAAAAUGGCAUAAUGAUUCACGUGAAAGAAUAGUUCUGGUUUGUAAGGGCAAUGAAAAUUAUUCCCUUUUAUUAUUGGUGGAAAUGAAUGAAAUCCUAGCUUAAUGAGUUUAGGAUGGGAUUGAUCGAAAUGAUAGUUUACCAUGCCUGAGUGUUCCUGUUCAUUAAAGAUCUCUCAUUAUUUCCAAGGACAAAUGUAAGUACAUGUACGCAUGAGGGCUUUGAUCAUAAUUUGACACAAAAUCAUCCUCCAAACCUCCUCUUGAGUAAUGACUGCAGGAAUUUCCGGAUUUUCUAAAAUAUUUCCCAACUCCCAUAGUCUUGCUACAAUGGGAGACGAUCAGUAUUGAGUAGGAAUCUCCUUGUUUUAACAUCAUUUGCAUGUAACUUGUAGUGGAGGUGAUGCAACGAACCAUUUACCUGUUCCCAUUGUUAAGUUUGUCCUGUAGCUAAACUUUUAAAAUCAGAUAACGGUGAAACCUUACUGAAAAAAAUGAUAACAUAGAGAUUAUAAGAGUGUAAAUAGUUUGGGCUUUUCGUUUGAAAAUAUGAAUACUUAAUAAAUGAUUCUCAUAAA